UACUGAGAGGUGAAUUAAAAGAGUGUUAGUUAAAAAUAAUUAAAUGAAUUAUUUAAGUACGGAAUUUAUAGGUUUGUAUUAAUAAAGGGUGAAAUUGAUUUUUUAAUGUGCAAAUAUAUAGGGUUCGUUAAAUUAAAUUGAAGUUGUUAAGGUAGGGGUAUGGACCAGGAUUAGAUACCCUGUUACACUUUACUUAAAAUUAAAAUACUUGGGUAUUAAACAGUUAUUGUCUUGAAACUCAAAGGAUUUGGCGGUAGCUUAGUCUAUUUAGAGGAACCUGUCCUGUAAUCGAUAAUCCACGAAAAAUCUAACUUUGUUUUGUAGGGUUCAGUUUGUAUACCGUCAUUAUUAGAUAACUUUAAUAAUUUUUUUGAGUUAUUGAAAUAAUUUUUUAUUAAGAUAUUAGAUCAAGGUGCAGCUUAUAAUAAAGGAGAGAUGGGUUACAAUAACGUAUAAGUAUACGGAUUAAGAAGAGAAUUUUUUUCUUAUGAAGGCGGAUUUAAAGGUAAAAGGAUUUUAAUAUGAUUCUUUGAUUAUAGCUCUAGGCUAUGUACACAUCGCCCGUCGCUCUCGUUGAUUAAAGC
rnacentral:rRNA from 1 species